rnacentral:lncRNA from 10 species
CAGUUUCAUUGCAGACUCUCCUGCUUCUUGCUGUUCCCGACGCGAUGAGCCUGGAUUGGACCCGGCCAGGAUUUUGUGGUUGUCCUUUGCCAUGACUGGGUUCCAGGAGGAAGCUGCCCCUCUCCACUCUGACCUCCUUGGCCAUAGAGGUGGUGGUGGAGGUGGUGGAGGUGGGUGGGGGUGGGCAUUUAUUUGAGCAAUAACGAGGGUUUCUCAAGUGGGAGGAAAAUAAAAAUGUCUCCUGCUGAGUCCUAGAUUUGCCGCAGAACAGCAGCAGAAGCAGCCCCAUCAGUCUCCCCGACCCCUGACUGGACUCUAUACCCCCGGGGCCAACGCUCCCAAUUCAGAGUCAGUCUCCAACCCCUGCAACAUGAGCUCAUGGAACCUGCUAAGUUCAUGGAAUAAGCUCAUGGAACUUAUUUUAGGACGUUAUUUCUGUAUGUACCUUCUCAAGGCCAUGAGUGCCCCGGGCAGGAGUCAGGCCAUACACCUCACCGGAUGGGAAGUGCCUAUCGCGGGCGCUGGAGAUCAGGAGGCGUCUGGUGCAUUAGCACCAAGAGGCCUGCUUGUCCAGCUGGAAAUGGUUUUGAGAGGUGCAGACACCCAACUGCAAGCUUCAUGGUGCAUCUGUGCCACUGCAUGCAGCUGACGAGGAGCCAUACAUGAGCUAUUUUGCCCAAAGCAUCGAUGGCAUGGCUCCCAUUGCAAUCCAGCAACAGGAAGCAUGGUGAAGAGUGGCCGCUGUCCCCAUGAAGAUGAGCAAUGUGACCCACAGACCAGCCAAGGAACCAGCUUCCUCACUGUGAGCAAUGCACACAGUUUUCCACUGUCUCCCCUGGUAGGAGGAGACCCUGAGCAACAACAUCAGGACGUGUAAAUGACUAAUCAUGUGCUCUUCAGGAGCGGAGAUUCUCACCAUGGCAGGUCACUCCUCUUCCUGGACACGGGAUGUCCAUGGAGCUACUGGAGCCCAGGGGAGGAUCCCAGAUUCCUGGGCGGUGUUGUGGAGCACAGCCCUCAUCUGGCCUAGGUUUGACAGUCAUGCAAGUGAACAAUACGUUCUUAUUUUG